AUGUGAUACAACUCGAACCGAAGAAACAUGAAGGGAAGCCUGUUCACAGAAGCUUUUGGAAAAGUUUUCUUCCAUCUCUGAGUAAUGAUAGCAAAGGAUGACUUUGGAGUUUAUUGGAGUUGUUACAACCAAGAAGGGUUAUGUGGAGGACCAAUGACACACUGUGGAUGACAAUGAUGUGAACAAUGAGCCUGAGCUCGUGGUGGUGCCUUUGAGGCACUGGAUCAACCACCCCUGACACUGUUCCACCUCUGGACUUCUUGGCAAUUGAGAUAACAUAGUGUCCUUAUUGUUUACUUGGAUUUUCUGUUAUCUGUCACCCAAAGCAUCCUUACUGAUACACAUGACCAGGGUGUGGCUUUCACCUUCAUGACCAAGACUGAUGCGAGAGAUCCAUCAUCAAACCCAUGUCCUGACAGCCAAAUACAAAACUUCAAGUUUGGUAUAAGAAAAAUGACAAUUGUCAUAAGCUGAAGAACACAACCCCCUUGAAAAGAGGCAUUGUUAUUCAGAUCCAGCAAAUUGUUGCCAGGAGACUGAAUGAAACAUCUAGAACAACUGGUAAAAGACAAACUCAUGGGUGAAGAAAAAACCUGCUUGGACUUUUUCAUAGUACACGUGGCACUCACAUGUGACAGCCCUGUUCCUACAGGCUGAGUGAACCUCCUACCAUGCUGCAGUCACCUGCAAGUGGAGUGAGCAGUGGUGUGACUGCUCACAUAUCAGAAGCUCAAGGCCACCUGUCACCUUGUGCCCAGGAUGCAACAGGCCACUGGGGCAGGCCCAUCUGAUACCGUCUUGCAUAAGAAAGAUAACUCUUAUCAUCACUCCACAAACUGAACUCGUAAAUAUAGACAGGAUUAGGUUGUGAUCAGUGCCCUGGAGUUGCCAAGACAGUGAAUUCCAGUGACAGCUCUGUCACAGGCCAGAUACUAAAUAUAUCUUCCUCAUAGUGACAAGGACAGGGUUGGGAGUACACGUGAUUCUUCCCAGUCACAAGGGGAAAAGCCCCAACCACUGUGCUCUUAGAGUCUAUUCCUGAACCAGGCUAAGGCCCAGACUGAAAAUAGAUUCCCUGUGUCCCGGCCACCUACCCUACUUGUGGCCUCCAGAUAGGAUACCAUGUAUCACGUACUAAAAAGCAGGUAGGAAGCUGUGGAGGAGGUGGCAGGACUCCUGGGCUUGUCGUGAGAGAAUUCCUUGUGUCAGGGUGGGUGUACCUUCUACCUGCCUCCUGGACUAUGGGAAAAGGAGGGAGCUCUGGGCUGGAGGGACUGAAGGGGAGGCGGGGCUGAGGGUGCUCCCUUGGCAUGUGCCAGUCUGCAGAAGGUGCCAAUCUAAUUCACUCCUAAGCAAGUCAAUGGCUGGUGACUUGUAUGUGGUCAGAUGUGCUCAUCCCUUCCCUAAUACUUCAUUUCUUCAAAUAGCAUGUGUCCAUUAGCCAGCUCAGUUAAAAUUUUAAUUUCACAGGUAUUACAUGAAUAAUUUUUGCAGUAAAAACCUUCUAACAAUACAGAAGCAUGUUGAGAAAAAAGAAAAAUUCCAUUUUUCUUUUAUCUCUCUCCAAUUGUACCUCUGUAUCCAGAAGCAGCUGCGAUCCACAGUUUGAUACGUAUCUUCCACACUUUUUCUAUGCACACAGCAUACAACACAGCACAAUACCUGCAACACACACAAUCUAGCACAGUAUAGUGCAGAAGGUUAGUACAUUGAGCAGGUCCUCAAACAUCAUUUCAUUACAACAUUGAUGAGAAAAAAAUGGUGGCAAGGCCAUGGUCUGGGUGGCAUUUGCACUUUCUCCCAUGUCUGUGUGGGUUUUCUUUGGGACUCCUGUCUCCUCCCACAUCCCAGGGAUGUGCAAGUGAGAUGAAUUGGCAUGUGUCCAUUGCCCCAGUCUGUGUGGGUGUGGUAUGUGUGUGAGUGGCCCUGUGAAGGAAGGGCAUUGUGUUCGGGGUGGGUCCCACCUUGCUCUUUGGGCUGCUCACACAGGCUCCGGCCACUGGGACCCUGAACUGGAAUA